rnacentral:rRNA from 1 species
GACGAACGCUGGCGGCGUGCUUAACACAUGCCAGUCGAACGGAAAGGCCCUGCGUUUGUUGGUUUCUCGAUUGGCGAACAGGUGAGUAACACGUGAGUAACCUGCCCUUGACUUUGGGAUAACUUCAGGAAACUGGGGCUAAUACCGGAUAUAAGCUCCUGCUGCAUGGUGUGGGUUGGAAAGUGUCGGCGGUUGGGGAUGUACCCGCGGCUUAUCAGCUUUUUGGUGGGGUAGUGGCUUACCAAGGCUUUGACGGGUAGCCGGCCUGAGAGGGUGAACGGAGACAUUGGGACUGCGAUACGGACCAGACUGCUAUGGGAGGCAGUAGUGGGGAAUAUUGCACAAUGGGCGGAAGCCUGAUGCAGCAAUGUUGCGUGCGGGAUGACGGCCUUCGGGUUGUAAACAGAUUUCGACUGUGACGAAGAGUGAGUGACGGUAACGGGUAAAGAAGCCACAGCUAACUACGUG